rnacentral:tRNA from 1 species
UCUCUGCUAGUAUAUCGGUUAGUACACGCGCCUGUCAUUGCUUUUAGAGCGGACGCGCGAAAGCUGGGUUCGACUCCCAGGCAGAGAG